CACCAAACCCUAUUCAAACAAAAUGGACGCAGAGCCAGAAAAGAAGAGAUUUUAGGAAGGACAAGCAAAGGUUGCAUCAAAGAGAGUCAGAAAUGUACUUUUAAGGACUCCUUACCAAGUAGGAGAGAGAGAACAAAAGACAAUGCUGUACUGAACACAUGGUGUAUGAGGCUGUGUGCCCUGUCUACCUAACACUGUUGGAAGUGGUGCCCGGAUUUUCAAAGUAACCAUCCUGAGAAGAAAAAUCUACUGUGAACUGAGACCUUUUGGGAAUAAAACAUGGAAAUCUGCUCCAUACAACUUCAGCUGGGAAGACAACUGAACAAAACAGCCGCAACGUGGAAUCACCGCACUGAGACCAGCUAACCGUGUACUCCUCUGUUUUAGUUUUCAUGAACUGCAAAAAUCUGAGAAGCCAAUCCUCUUAUUCUGCCAUUGGUACUGGUGUGUGUGUGAGCCCAGACGAAUGCGUGCGGUGUAUGAAUGGUGGUUGCGAUUUGCCUAGAAUUUUUUUUUAGUUUGGUAGGUAGUUUCAAUAAACUUAUCUUGUUCUUUGUUUAACCUAA